GACCUAUGUCAUAAGAGCUGUAGGAUGGGGUGGGAGCAACCCUAUAGAUCAUAGAGCUGUAGGAUGGUUGGGUUGGGAAGGACCCUAUAGAUCAUAGAGCUGUAGGAUGGGUGGGAGGGACCCUAUUGGAUCAUAGAGCUGUAGGAUGGGUGGGAGGGACCCUAUGGAUCAUAGAGCUGUAGGAUGGGUUGGAGAGACCCUAUAUCAUGAACCUGUAGGAUGGGUGGGAGGGACCUAUGGAUCAUAGAGCUGUAGGAUGGGUUGGAGGGACCCUAUAGAUCAUAGAGCUGUGGAUGGGUUGGGAGGGACCCUAUAGAUCAUAGAGCUGUAGGAUGGGUGGAGACGUAUGGACAUAGAGGCAUAGGAUGGGGUGGGAGGGACCAUAGAUCAUAGAGACUGUAGGAGGUGUUGGAGGGACACCUAUAGAUCAUAGAGCUGUAGAUGGUUGGGAGGGACCCUAUAGAUCAUAGAGCUGUAGGAUGGGUUGGGUUGGAAGGACCCUAUAGAUCAUACAGUUGUAGGAUGGGUUGGGUUGGGAGGGACCCUAGGAUCAUAGAGCUGUAGGAUGGGUUGGGAGGGACCCUAUAGAUCAUAGAGCUGUAGGAUGGGAGCAACCUAUGGAUCAUAGAGCUGUAGGAUGGGUGGGAGGGACCCUAUGGAUCAUAGAGCUGUAGGAUGGGUUGGGUUGGGAGGGACCCU
rnacentral:lncRNA from 7 species